ensembl:lncRNA
CCCUAGUACUUAAAUAUAAUCUGGUACUACUGUGGUAUAUGUGACCCUAGUACUUAAAUAUAAUCUGGUACUACUGUGGUAUAUGUGACCCUAAUAGUCAGUUAAUAAAAAACGUGUAGAACAUGACAUAAAGUAAACAUUUAAAACAGUACAAACAGAAUAAAAAGAACAAUAAUAGUAAUCAAUGGUACAGUACCUGGUGCAGUUCAAGGGUAAGGAUGUAUCUUGCAUUGCAUUUGUAAUUAACAAAGAAGGAUCAGAUGAGUGUAAAAGCAAUGGAAAACGUUAAAUGGUUGCCUGAGGUGCAGGUUUAAUAGUUUUUAAAUGACAGACUAUUAACUGUAUGGAUUAUAUUAGGAGGUAGUACAUCCCAGGCAUUAAAAAAUGUUCUAGGAUUGGAGGUAUUAUGUGACCUAAACUAGCAUUCCUUGUGUAAUGGUUAUGUCUACUACUACUACUACGUAUAUUGUAACUGAUUGUAAACAUAUUCAGGUGUCUGAUUAAAUACUACCUUUCUGAAAACAUGGGAUGGCUUUGGGGAAGUUUGAUUUCCAAUGACCACCAUGACAGGCAAGAGUGCAUAUAUAUACUGUAUUAGUUCUUAUUGAACACUGGAAUGGCAGCACAGUUGUACUUUAUUUGUGUUCUUCUUUCAGCUGCUGACCAUAUGAAUAGACAGUAUAGCAAGUAAAAAAAGACCAAGGACUGUAACACCUGGCAAACAAUAUGGUGUAAAAAUAAAAUAAUAAAGUGUUAAAUAGGCAAAGCACAUUAUGGUCAUUGCUACAUCUCUUCCCAUUUCAUUCACAAUGCUGCCAAUGUGCUUAGACCACUGUUCGUCCAACACUAGACCAGUAGCUGGGUGCUUUUGACCUCUUCUAUGGCCAAACCUGACAUAAACAGGUGAAGCUGUGCGUCACCAUUAAUGUUCCUUAAGCCAAACACAAUACUUUUAAUUUUAGAAAUGUUCAGGGCUAGUUCAUUCGCUUUCACCCAAUCAGCCACUCUUUCCAGGGUUUUUAUUAUUAUAAAAAUUAUAUUACAUCACAUGUCAUGUAGCUGACGCUUUUAUCCAAAGCGACUUACAAUAAGAACAUUUCAACCAUAAGGACACAAACUCAAAAGAACAAGAAAGUGUGAUUUCAUCAAACAAGCCGAUGUACAACUUGCUGUAGAUAAGAACCAUUAUAAGUCCAAUGUAAGUGCUACAGUUAGUGUGUUAGUGGAGGUAGAGUCUGAAGAGGUGUGUCUUUAGUCUGAAGAUGUGAAGGCUCUCUGUGGUCCUGAUGUAAGCUGGACCCCAUCCAUUCACAGCAUGGUACGUGAGCACCAUGUUUAGAACUGGAUGAGCCACCGGUACCAGUGAAGAGAGCGGAGGAGUGGAGGAGUGAGGGAGAACUUAGGAAGGUUAAAGACCAGUGGAGCUGCUGCAUUCUGGAUGAGCUGCAGAGGUGGAAUGGUGGUAGCAGGAGACCUGCAGGACAGAGCUGCAGUAGUCCAGGAGGGAGACGACAAGAGCCUGAAUCAGUACCUGUACUUGUUGAAGACGACCUAGAGAGUCACGUCUUUGUGUGUGGAAGUCGUUGGUUGGUUUAUUUAUUCAUCAUAGACUUUAUUGCCCCGUGCAUCCACACUGCUGCUUUUCAUCUCAGACACAUUUGUCCCGUAUUUUCCUCCACAACUUUGUUCCCCUCGACCGGCAAACCGACGUUUGCGGCGAUCUCCCUCCAUGAAUCCAACCCACUUAUACAACCCGCCAAUGACAAUGUUUUCUUCUAGCUGUCUUCCUGUUGUUGUCCACUACUUCACGUUGUCUUCAAGUUCUCUUGUAGUUGUUUUCCACUACUUCUCGUUAUCUGUUGUUAUCUGUUGUCUCCCUGUUGUCUUUCAGCUGUCAUCCUGCUGUUGUCCAGUGCUUUGCAUGUUCUUUGCAUUGUCUUCCAGUCGUCUUCCUGUUGUUGUCCACUACUUCCUAUUGUCUUACCGUUGUUUCCACGUUGUCUCCCAGUUGUCAUUCCAGUGUUUUAGUGUUGUCUUCUUGUUGGCUCCCCACUGUCUUCCAGUUGUCGUCCCCUACUUUCUAUUGUCUUCCUGUUGUCCCCAACUGUAUUCUCGUUGUUGUCCACCAUUUCCCGUUAUUGUCCCAUUGUUGUCACCUACCUAGCUUUGUUCCUUAAAUUAAAUAAUUCACUGCAGAAAACAAAGGAAGUCUGAUGUAGUUCAAUGAAAAAAGAUUUUUUCUCUGAUUUAACCUCUUUUCUUCAUGUUCUGAGACGCAUGCCACCGUGAUCGGCCAAACAGGGUCCAUCACAUCACACUAAUAGACUGCCAAAUGUACAACACACACACGCGCACACACACACACACACACAAUCGCACAGACACAGAGGGCGUUGACCUGCUAUUACUGAGCUUUUCUGCUUCACUGCAGGCUGGUAAUGAUGGUCUGUGUGUGUGUCUGUGUGUCCAGAAACUUGUAAUGUGUUGGUUGAGUAACUUAGUGAUUGACACACCGACCCAGAGAGAGACAGAGAGAGAGGGCCUUAUGGACUAACGCUUUUGCACCCACUUCAGGCGUAUUUGAUUCGCAACGUGCGCGUAAAAGCAUUGCGAAGUGCAAACAUGCCGCUCUGUGGUGAAAGCGCAGUUGCGGGAACUGAAAAUGGCAAAUUGCGCUUUCUCAUGUCAUGCUUUUACGUGCACGUUGCAAAACAAAUACGCUUGAAGUGGCUGCAAAAGCGUUAGUACAUGAGGCCCAGAGAGGGAGAGAAGCAGAGGGACAGAGUUCAGAAUCAGAUGGACAUCCAUAAAAUGGUUAAACACGCACACACCUAAACCCACAGACACACACAAACAGCAGGGUUUUAAUUAGUGAGUUUUAGUUGAGUGAUCAGCUCGUAAAGCUAACAAUGUUUGCUGCCCUCCGCAAAAGCAAAACACCUCAUUUAAUUCAACACACAUGCUCACAUACAGACAAACACAAAGACAUAAAUACAAACUCACACACGGCUGGAAAAUUAACCCAGUUUAAAUCCAUUUCAUUUUGUGCUUAUGGGAUGAAAUGUUCAGUCUGUGUGUCAACAAACAUAAGUUCAUUAAAACUCAAUUUUCUGCUGCAGCUUUCUGUAUUGACCCACCAGUCAUUAAGUCCCUCUGUUUUCAUAUUUAUUUAUAUAUUUAUAAAUAAGUUUACAACAAAUACAGCACAUGUUCAAAAUACCAUAUGUACGGUGUGUGUGUGUGUGAAAGAUAUAUCUGUACACACACCCUAAUAUAUAUAUAUAUAUAUAUAUAUAUAUAUAUACAGCAAAGGUCCUUGAAGAGAGACGUCUCUCCCGUCCCUGUUCCAGUGUCCCAGCUGUAGUGGUCUUGACACACGGACACUGGACCUGAUCCCAGAUCAGCAGCAGGAAACUCUCAAAAACCAAAAUCAGUUUUAAGAGAAUGUCUUUGUUUGAUGAAACCACAUGUUCUCGAUUCAUCUACAUUUUAGUCUCCCUUUUGCUCAGAAUCAGAGAUACGUGUCAUCACUUCUUCUUCAUGUCCUCUGUCCUGCACUUCCUGUCUCCGUCCCAGUGUCUAACUUUUCCACCUCCUCUCAUCCGUCUUCAUCUCUCGGUCUCUUCUGCGGUGUCUCUCGUCCGUCUCCAUCACUCCACAUUAGCUCCCUCUCUCCUCUAUUACCUCCCUCUCUCCUCCAUUAGUAACACCUGAAUCCUUCUAUUAGAUUGAGGAAGUCGGCCUCAUAAAUUCGCCGGCGUUCCUCCGCAGCCGAGCGCCGGCUCAGUGUUUUUGAUAAUGAAAGGAUCUGGGCUUAAAUUCACAUUACCUUUGUGAUGUACUUCAUGCUUGAUCAUAUCAGGCUCUUUGAUUUUAUUAACGUCUCUGAAUGGAUUUCUCGUUCUCUCUGCCCGUCCAUCUCCGUCUGUCGCCCCCCUCCCAACGUCUACUCCAACGAGGGCUUCGUCCUCCGAGGGGGGCGCUGAAGGUCGAGGGACUUGGGGUCGAGAGGCAGCAGACUGCCCGGCAGCUGCAAAGCAUGAUGGGAAACCUGCAAGGGCUUUACAUGAAUCAACAGAAGAACUCAGCGGACUCAAACAUGGUUAUUUGUAACGCACGCUGGCGGAGCGGCACAUUGAGACAAAGUAAAUAAAGUGCUGUAAUCACCACCCGGCUGGUACACGCAGUGACUCCGAUCAAACACACCCAAGGUGUUGAGGAUCAGCUCAGACACUGUGACAUCAUAAACAUAAAUAUCCUUGUUGCGUUUGACCUGCGUGUGUCCUCUGAGUCAAACCCGAGACCUGGAGGAGGUCUGUUAAAAUAACAAUCAGAGCUACUGUUUGUCCCUUAAUCGAUAAAUAUAAUUUGCAAUACGCUGCUAUCAGAUUUAAUGAGAAAAGAUUAACACACACACCCACACACACACAAAGCGCAUACAAAGCAAAAAUAAAGUGCACACAUACACGCGCACACACACAUGGAGUCAGUUAACCCAUUCUGACCUCUCUGCUGCUCUGCUGCUUUCCAACACACAACCUGUCAAACUGUCAGUGUGUGUGUGUGUGUGUGUGUAUAUUUCAUUAGUUUCAACAGUUUCAGAGUUUGAGGAUCGAUAUGCUUGAGUGUGUGAGUGUGUGUGUGUGUGUGUCUGUGUAAAGUAACAAAAGCACUUGUCAGAGGCACUGUCAGAAGUCCCGCCCCUGACUGUCUGUCAUAGUAUUUUGAUUGACAGCUCUUAACACAUGACAUCUUAUUGUGUUGUAGUUGAUUCAUUUUUAUUUAUUUAUUAAUAAAUUAAAUAUUCAUCUGAAGGAACCUGACGGUAAAAGGUCUGUGUGUUCUGUUCUGGUUGCUUAAAUAUCUGCAGAGCCAACGCACUACGAUCUACGAGCAAGUACGUUAGGAGAGGAGAGAAUUUAGAGCUAUAGGAGGAGGUUGUCAGUAGGGAGGUUCUAAGAGUCAGUGUGGAGGUUCUAAGAGUCAGUGGGGAGGUUCUUAGAGUCAGUGUGGAGGUUCUAAGAGUCAGUGUGGAGGUUCUAAGAGUUAGUGUGGAGGUUCUAAGUGUCAGUGGGGAGGUUCUUAGAGUCAGUGUGGAGGUUCUAAGAGUCAGUGGGGAGGUUCUUAGAGUCAGCGUGGAGGUUCUAAGAGUCAGUGGGGAGGUUCUUAGAGUCAGUGUGGAGGUUCUAAGAGUCAGUGAGGAGGUUCUGAGCAUCAGUGAGGAGGUUCUAAGAGUCAGUGAGGAGGUUCUAAGAGUUAUUAAAGAGCUUCCUGGGUCUUUAUUUUGUAUCUGCUGUUAACUAUGUUAAAGCGGGAAUAAGCAUUUUUACAGUAAUGGAGGAUGGUUGUACUGUUCCUUUGUGAAGCAGCUACUUUAAUGGAGCAUCAGGAAUCGAGAAUCAGGAACAUUCAUUGCGCGCCGUCAUUUGCGACCGGGCGCUGCUGCUACUUUUAUAGAAAUGCUAUUUAUGUAUUUCAUCAUCCGGCGGUCUGCACUGGACGCCCCGCGGGCCGUAUGUUUGACACCCCUGCACUAAGGGGUUAUUAAUGGCGAACAGUGGUACUGUUUCUUUAAGAAGCAGCUCCCUGAGACUUGACCUACCUGAAUAAAGGCUUUGAGUUCUACCUUCACUUUGCUCUUUACAGUCAUAUCUCCCUUUGUGUGAUGUAAAACGACUUUAUGGAGCUCGUAUCAUGAAAAUUGAUUAGUCGUACAGAAAAGAAGGUUAAUCGAGACCUUAAAUAAGAACUAUAACUCUCUCUCUCUCCACCAGGUUGGGAGGUGUCAUCCUCUGCUGCUUUAUGGAGAAACCAGACUUAACGAGGGCUAACAAAAUGUCAGCAGCCGACCAAUCAGGAGCCAGCAAUAGGACAGGGAGACUUAUUCGAGUGGGAAGUCUGAAGGAGUCAUUUCAGAGUGAGGAUUGAGAGGAGGAGGAGGAGGAAGAUCAGAAGGAGGAAGAAAAUUAUGAGGACAAGACAAUUAGAAGGUGGAAGAGUAGGAAAAGGAGAAGGAGUAGAAGGGGGAAGAGGAGCAGGAAGAGAGGGAGAAAGAGGAGGGUGAAAAGAGGAAGAGGAGGAAAAGAAGAAUAGGGAGAAGGGUGAAGAGGAGGUGGAAGAGGAGAAAGUGGAAGAGGGAGGGGGAAUGAAGAAGAGGAAGAGGAGGAAGAUGAAGGGAAAGAGGAGGAGGAGGAAAAUGAAGAGAUGGAGGAGGACGAACAAGAAGAGGAAGGAGGUCAUUUUUUAAAUCAGCAGUAACUUUCUUGUCGAACAAGAAGAAAAAGUGAGUCUCCUUAAGUGUGUAAAACUGUUAAAGACUAAAUGAGAACCUCCCCCUCUCUCUCUCCCCCUCUGUCUAAAUCAAUCAAUAAUUCCCUUGUCGUUACUGCAGCAUGAAGCCAAUCAGGAUAAAACAGGGAAUUAUAUUCAUGAAACAACAAAGUGCUCAGACAGCAAAACAAAUUGUGAGAGCGUACUUGUCUGUGUUGUAUGUGUGUAUGUGUGUGUGUAUGUGUGUGUGUGUGUGUUUGUGUGUGUGUGUGUGUGUGUGUGUGUGUGUGAGACAAAUGUCAAUAAGUUUUCCAUAGAAAACAAACAGUGUCGCUGAAAUGAGAUGGAGAAUGACAUGUUAGUCAUUUAAGCAUGAAGGAGAAAAAAACACAUUGAACCUGUAUAUAUUUAUAUACAGUAUAUAUACACAUACAAUAUAUAUACGGGUUCAGCUGGUUUCAGUGACCACCACAUCAUCACUGUGGACCUGAUCACUUCACCGGGUCAAUGGAUAAAGUCCAACUAGUGCUUUAAUAACAUUUAUAUUACGAGACUGCUCUCUCACUCUGCUAGAGCUCCUCUCUCUCCUCUGUCCUCGUCCUUCUGGACGUCUCUGCUGCAUUUGACACAGUCAACCACCAGAUCCUUAUUUCCUUCCUUCAGGAACUUGGUGUCUCAGGCUCUGCUCUCUCCCUUCUCUCGUCCUACCUUGACGGCUGCACCUACCGGGUAACCUGGAGAGGAUCUGUGUCGGAACCUUGUUCUCUUACUACGGGAGUUCCUCAGGGUUCCGUCCUGGGUCCCCUCCUCUUCUCGCUCUACACCAACUCUCUCAGCGCUGUCAUCCGCUCGCAUGGCUUCUCCUACCACAGCGAUGCUGAUGACACCAACUAAUUCUCUCCUUCCCUCACUCGGAUCUCUGUCUGUCUGACUGACAUCUCUCAGUGGAUCCGCCCACCAUCUGAAAAUCAACCCCGAGACUACUUCUCUUUCCAGGAAAAGAUUCUCCUUCACAGGACCUGACUGUUAACUUUGAGACUCCGUGUUAACGCCCACUUUGACUGCAGGAACUUCGGCGUGACAUCGACAGCCGACUCUCCCUGACUCCAACAUCACGGACAACAUCCUGUAGAUACUCGCUCUACAACAUCAGGAGAACACGUCCACUUCUCACCCAGAAGGCUGCUCAG